UGAUGGCUGUCCUCUUCAGGCAGUCUGUGCUUUCCUACCAUGAACAACUUCUGGGAGCAAAAUUCAAAAGGAGGAUAAGAAAAAGCUUGCCAACCUCCUGAUCUCAACCAAAUUUUACCCUAACUAUAUGAACUAUGCAAAAACCUGCUAAAGAGUUGGAGCUCAUCAUAACUCUGCAAGCAGGGAAAUCACAGAAGAGGAGAAGAAGAAAGAAUUAAAAGAUAUCAUUGGAACUUACAGAAGAAGGGCCGUGUGAAGACACAAGGAGAAGAUGGCCAUCUACAAACCAAGGAGAGAGGACUCUGAAGAAACCAAACCUGCCGAUGACUUGA